rnacentral:rRNA from 1 species
AUGGGCGAAAGCCUGAUGCAGCGACGCCGCGUGAGGGAUGAAGGCCUUCGGGUUGUAAACCUCUUUCAGCAGGGACGAAGCGCAAGUGACGGUACCUGCAGAAGAAGCACCGGCUAACUACGUGCCAGCAGCCGCGGUAAUACGUAGGGUGCAAGCGUUGUCCGGAAUUACUGGGCGUAAGAGUUCGUAGGCGGUUUGUCGCGUCGUUUGUGAAAACUCACAGCUCAACUGUGAGCUUGCAGGCGAUACGGGCAGACUUGAGUACUGCAGGGGAGACUGGAAUUCCUGGUGUAGCGGUGAAAUGCGCAGAUAUCAGGAGGAACACCGGUGGCGAAGGCGGGUCUCUGGGCAGUAACUGACGCUGAGGAACGAAAGCGUGGGUAGCGAACAGGAUUAGAUACCCUGGUAGUCCACGCCGUAAACGGUGGGCGCUAGGUGUGGGUUCCUUCCACGGAAUCUGUGCCGUAGCUAACGCAUUAAGCGCCCCGCCUGG